GUCCACAUGGACCUUUGAGAAAGCAAGCGAGUGAAUAAUAGGACAAGAUGAUCAAUAUUAGAAACAGAUGUUGUGGAUGAGAGUCCUGCUGUGGCCGUUGUGGAGGUCACUGGAGGUUUUGGCUGUGGCUCUUAAUGUGCAGGAGGACACUCAGAGAAAUAUACGGUCAAGUGGUCAGAUCUGCAUUUCUUUUAUGAGUAUGCCCACAGGUGGUGUUUUUGAUUUACUUGGAUGCACUUUGAGCCAAACUUGUUGGAAAUCCCCAAAUUAUUAUUUGCUGCUAAUGAAUACGCUUGCUGUGUUGCAUCCAGACGCUCGGGCCAAGUAAGAGCUGUUUCGCUGGAGGACUGUGGCCGUGAGGGAUGUUUUGUGUGCUGUCCAGAGGCUGUAAAUACCAGCAGAGCAAGAGUGGUUUAUUUACUUUGGCUGAGACCUCAGCAGCUCAAACCCGAGACACAGAAAGAAGCUCUGAUAAUCCUACUUCUCUGGAACAUUUGUGUCUGUGACUGAGCUUUUGGUUUCUAGAUCCAGCCCUAGAGGAACAGAGAUAGAGAUGAGAAGUGAUAGCAUGAUGAAUCUGGACUGUCUCUCUCUGUCUCUCCGUCCUGAGGAGACGCAUGACUGACAGCAAAUUCACAGCUGUGAAUAGAGCUGAUUUAUAUGGUGGGGACAGAGUUUUACAGAGACCGUCAUCACACUUGUGUAUAUAAUCCAUCAAAGCGCUUCCCCCUUUAUGAAC